CGGGGAGACCGUCCCGGUGCUGCCGGUGCCGGCAGAGGAGAGCCCGGCCCGGCGGCCGCCGCUCGGCUCUUCCCGCAGCCGCUCCCGAGCGUCUCCAUCCAGCGGCUCCGCUCCCUCCGCCGUGCCGGGAAGCGGCUCUCGGGUGGUCCCGACCCCGCUGCUGUGCCCUAAGCGAGGGAUGCUGAGGAUUCUGAUCCCCCCGGGAAUCCCGCUCCAUCCUCCCACCAAUCCCGAGGAUUACUGAAUGGAGCCAGCAAGGAUUAAACCUACAUUUAAAAGAUAAACAAAUAAAUUCAAAUAUAUAAACGCGUAUAUUCAAUGUAUAGCUACAUAUAUAAAUGUAAAUACAUGCACAUGAUCUAAAUAAGCACUCUAAAUGAAUAUAUCAUAGCUAAAUAAAUAGCUGCAUAAAUA